ACCUGACAUCUGUAUGUGUGUCUAGGUACGUGACAUCUGUGUGUAUGUGUGUCUAGGUACGUGACAUGUGUGUGUAUGUACGUGACAUCUGUGUGUAUGUGUAUCUAGGUACGUGACAUCUGUGUGGCAAGGCACAUGGUCUCGAUGUAUGGAUACAUGACAGAUACAUGGUUCAGUAUAUAUCAGGGUACGUGGCCACUGUGUGUUUGGGUUGUGUGACUCUGAGAGGAAUACAAGACAUACAGAUACUCUAGCCUUCCUCACCACAGCACGAUGUACUUGGUUCAGUGUCUCCCGGGCUGAAUAUAGUCAGUUGGGUUCACAGCGAUUCAACAAUACUACAA